AAAGAAACUAACARGGAUUCCCCUAGUAACGGCGAGUGAAGCGGGAAGAGCUCAAAUUUGAAAUCUGGCGGUCUAAGGCCGUCCGAGUUGUAAUCUAGAGAGGUGUUUUCCGUGCCGGACCGUGUACAAGUCCCUUGGAACAGGGCGUCAUAGAGGGUGAGAAUCCCGUCCAUGACACGGACUCCCGGUGCUCUGUGAUACGCCUUCGAAGAGUCGAGUUGUUUGGGAAUGCAGCUCAAAACGGGUGGUAAAUUCCAUCUAAAGCUAAAUACAGGCGAGAGACCGAUAGCGAACAAGUACCGUGAGGGAAAGAUGAAAAGAACUUUGGAAAGAGAGUUAAACAGUACGUGAAAUUGUUGAAAGGGAAACGCUUGAAGUCAGUCGCGUCCGCCAGGACUCAGCCUUGCUUCUGCUUGGUGCACUUCCUGGUGGAUGGGCCAGCAUCGAUUUUGAUCGCCGGAAAAGGUCGGGAGGAAUGUGGCAGCUUGCUGUGUUAUAGCCUUCCGACGUACACGGUGGUUGGGAUCGAGGACUGCAGCACGCCUUUUGGUCGGGGUUCGCCCACGCCACGUGCUUAGGAUGCUGGCGUAAUGGCUUUAAACGACCCGUCUUGAAACAC
rnacentral:rRNA from 1 species